rnacentral:rRNA from 1 species
AACUUUCAACAACGGAUCUCUUGGUUCCGGCAUCGAUGAAGAACGCAGCGAAAUGCGAUAACUAAUGUGAAUUGCAGAAUUCAGUGAAUCAUCGAGUCUUUGAACGCACAUUUCGCCCUCUGGUAUUCCGGAGGGCAUGCCUGUCCGAGCGUCAUUG